GGAACAACAAGACUCACUACAUGACAAUGAACUAGAAUCGGGUAUUGCUGCAAGUGACCCUGCAUCAAAGUCUAUCAACAGUGAAGAAGAAAUGAAACCAGAACAAGUGGAUCUCAUCAGGCAAGUCAUGGCAGGUAUCACUCUUCCCUCAUCAUCCAUUCCAGAUUGGGCCAAAGUCAUACCAGAAGAAA